rnacentral:rRNA from 1 species
UACGUAGGGGGCUAGCGUUGUCCGGAAUCAUUGGGCGUAAAGAGCGUGUAGGCGGCCCGGUAAGUCCGCUGUGAAAGCCCGGGGCUCAACCCCGGGAGGCGGGUGGAUACUGUCAAGCUCGAGUCCGGAAGAGGAGUGUGGAAUUCCUGGUGUAGCGGUGAAAUGCGCAGAUAUCAGGAGGAACACCAAUGGCGAAGGCAGCACUCUGGGACGUGACUGACGCUGAGACGCGAAAGCGUGGGGAGCAAACAGG